UGGGGAAUCUUGGACAAUGGGGGCAACCCUGAUCCAGCCAUGCCGCGUGAGUGAUGAAGGCCUUAGGGUCGUAAAGCUCUUUCGCCUGUGAAGAUAAUGACGGUAGCAGGUAAAGAAGCCCCGGCUAACUCCGUGCCAGCAGCCGCGGUAAUACGGAGGGGGCUAGCGUUGUUCGGAAUUACUGGGCGUAAAGCGCGCGUAGGCGGACUGAUCAGUCAGGGGUGAAAUCCCAGGGCUCAACCCCGGAACUGCCUCCAAAACUAUUGGUCUAGAGUUCGAGAGAGGUGAGUGGAAUUCCAAGUGUAGAGGUGAAAUUCGUAGAUAUUUGGAGGAACACCAGUGGCGAAGGCGGCUCACUGGCUCGAUACUGACGCUGAGGUGCGAAAGUGUGGGGAGCAAACAGGAUUAGAUACCCUGGUAGUCCACACCGUAAACGAUGAAUGCCAGUCGUCGGGUAGCAUGCUAUUCGGUGACACACCUAACGGAUUAAGCAUUCCGCCUGGGAGUACGGUCGCAAGAUUAAAAGCUCAAA
rnacentral:rRNA from 1 species